UCGUGAGACAGUUCGGUCCCUAUCUGUCGUGGGCGCAGGAAAUUUGAGAGGAGCUGUCCUUAGUACGAGAGGACCGGGAUGGACGUACCGCUGGUGCAUCAGUUGUUCCGCCAGGAGCAUGGCUGAGUAGCUACGUACGGACGGGAUAAGCGCUGAAAGCAUCUAAGCGUGAAGCCCCCCUCAAGAUGAGAUUUCCCAAUUAGUAAGACCCCUUGAAGACGAC
rnacentral:rRNA from 1 species